CUGUCGUGGGAGGGUGCUCCAACAUAUAGCUGGCAAGCAAGCAGGUGAUACUCCUGAGGGAGCAGUUGCUGUGUCCAAACAGGUUCCAUGAUGUCUGGGGUGGCUUGGCUGCUGGUGCUGCUCCUGCUGGCCCUGCUGGUGGCUGCCCUGCGCUCCUGGCAGCGUGCUCCAGCGCGGAGCAAGAUCCCCAGGGCACAGAAGCGCCGGGUGGAGGCACUGCAGCGGAUGGAAGCCCUGGCACGGCGUCUCCGGGAGCAGGAGCCGUCCCUGGACCCCAGGCCCAUCCUGGAGCUGCCCCUGGACAGGCUGGUCCAGAAGCUGCGGGAUGAAGAACUCAGUCUGGAGAGCGUCCUCUGUAGCUACUUAGAGGAGGCACUGACGGUGCACCAGGAGGUAAACUGCCUGACGGAUUUCCUGGACGAGUGUGAGGAACAACUGCAGGCAUUAAAGAAACUCAAGAAGACUGAGAGAGGCCUUCUCUAUGGGGUCCCCAUCAGCCUCAAGGACCCCUUCAACUGCAAGGGCCAUGACUCUACAUGUGGCCUGGCCCAGUUCCUGGAGAAGCCAGCGGCCAAGGACGGGGUCAUUGUGAAAGUGCUGAAGGCCCAGGGAGCUAUUCCCUUCGUUAAGACCAACAUCCCCCAGACACUGUUCAGCGCUGAGUGCAGCAACCCCAUCUACGGACAGACUCUGAACCCUCUGCGCUUAAAGAAGUCACCGGGGGGCUCCUCGGGGGGCGAGGGAGCCCUGCUUGCACAAGGGGGUUCCAUCCUGGGCAUGGGUACUGACACCGGAGGCAGCAUCCGCAUACCAGCCAGCUUUUGUGGUGUCUGUGGCCUCCGGACAACAGGAUACCGUCUCAGCUACUCUGGAGUUGCCUCUGCUAUCAAAGGCCAGAAAUCAGUGACCACGGUGGCUGGCCCCAUGGCCCGGGAUGUGGAGAGCCUGGUGCUGUGUCUGCGAGCCCUGCUAAGUGAAGACAUGCACCGACUGGACCCCACUGUGCCUUUCAUGCCCUUCAGGGAGGAGAUAUACUCCAGUAACCAGCCCCUUCGAAUAGGCUACUGUGAAUCAGAUGGCUUCACCCAACCAUCUCCGAGCAUGGCCAGGGCCAUGAGGCUCACCUCCAGGCUGCUCCAGGACGCAGGACAUCAGGUCAUCCCCUUCUCCAUCCCCCGCAUAGAAUAUGCUGUCAAACACCUGUUCGUGGGGGGUCUGUUUGCCGAUGGAGGAGCCACCCUUCUGGAGAAGCUGUACAUUUGUCAGGACUCAGAUAAAGGUGAGGGGGACAUUGUGGACCCUUGCAUGAAGACAAUGAUCAACCAGCUCCGCUUGCCAGACCUACUCAAGUGUUUCUUGGCCUGGAUCCUGAAGUACAUAGAACCCCGAGCUAGCCAGAAUUUAGAAGAGAUGCGUGGGGUGAGGACUCCCAAGAAGCUGUGGGAGCAGCACAGUGCAGUGGAGGAAUAUCGGCAAGAGUUCAUAGCCAGGUGGAGGUCCUUAGACCUGGAUGUGCUGCUGACACCAGCUGUGGACCCUGCCUUCGAUGUAGGCUAUUCUGGCAAGGCAUUAGAUAGCUUCUCCUACUUGCACCUGUACAACGUCCUGAACUUCCCUAUUGGCGUGGUGCGGGUCACCAGUGUGACGCCGCAGGACGAGGAGGACCUGACCUUCUACAAGGGAUACUAUGGAGACAGUUCUGACACGUAUUUCCGGGAGGCCUUACAAGGGUCCGUGGGACUCCCCGUGGCGGUGCAGUGCAUUGCUUUGCCAUGGGAAGAGGAGCUGUGUCUCCGGUUCAUGAAGGAGGUGGAGACCUUGGUCAAGAACCACAGGGAAGCAGAGUUAUAGGCCACUCCUUCUCCUGGAGGCCUUCCUACAGCCUCCUCAAAGUUGGCUUCUGAUGCCCCUUCUCAAGAAUACUGUAUGCGCCUGUCUCCUCCUCCUUGAAGCCCACCGGAUUCCUUUUCUUUGUUGUCCUUCUGCGUGGGCGGGGCUGUAGCCUCCUGGUGGCCUUCUGCGUCCAGUUCAGUCCCCCAGAUGACACCUCAGAUUGCAGCAGAGGGGAGAGAGCUCCAAACAGAGGGGCUGACAGUGGCCGCUGCUGCCUUGGAGCUGCCUCCAGGAUGAGGAUAUGGGCCUUGGAACAGACUGGAUGGCCCCUUUGAAAUGUGGCUUCCUCCUGGUUCUCAGAAUAGGAGUCAGCCAGAGCUGCUGAGAGCUCCUGGGAGUUAAGAAGACCCACAUUCUCCAACAGAGAAGAAUCUCAAGACUUAGACCAAAGUCUACCCUGAGUCCUGGCAUCGCUUCUCUGGCCCAAGGAGAAUGGGCACAGGCCCCUGUGUGUGCCAGCUCCGUGCUAGUGGCGAACCAGACACCCGGGGUUCCUCCCGCGUGGCUCCCAGCCAAGGGGACACGUGGACCGGGAGUGUCUGUUUCCUCUGGUGGCUGGACCUUGCAUGUUUGUUCUGUUCUUCAAAGACAGAGUGUCUCAGGGCCCAGGGUUUGGAAGGAGCCUCAAGAAGCAUCCCAUCCAGCCUUCCUUCUGCAGAAUCUUCUUGAACUCUCCCAGGCAUGCCACCAUUUAAGAAGAAAGAAGUCCAGGCUACCUUGCUGAAGAGCCUGCAUGGAGGAGAACUGAGGCACCGCAGCUGACAGCCAGCACCAAAUGCCAGCCAUGCCAAGAAGCACUCUUGGAAGAGAUCCUCCAGCCCCAGUCAAGACUUCAGAGGGUGUAGCCCAACCAAUACAACUGCCAUCCACAAGAGAUCCCCAGGCCAGAACCAGCUAAACUGCUCCUGGAUUCCUGCCCCUCAGAAACUGUGAUAUAAUAUAGGUGUCCUUCGCUUUAUUGAGCUUUGCUUUAUUUUAGUUUGUCGAUGCUCUGUUCUUUUUAUGAAUUGAAGGAUUGUGGCAACCCUGCAUCAAGCAAGUCUAUCAAUGCCAUUUUUUUCAACAGCAUUUGCUCACUUCAUGUCUGUGGCACAUUUUGGUAAUUCUUACAAGAUUCCAAAUCUUUUUGUUAUUAUUAUAUUUCUUAGCGUGUUCUGUGAUCAGUGAGUGUGACCUGCUGAAAGCUCAGAUGAUCAUUGGCAUUUUUUAGCAAUAAAGUAUUUUUAAUAAGGA